rnacentral:rRNA from 1 species
UACGUAGGUGGCGAGCGUUAUCCGGAAUGAUUGAGCGUAAAGGGUGCGUAGGCGGCCUGCUAAGUCUGGAGUGAAAGGUACCGGCUCAACCGGUACAGGCUCUGGAAACUGGCGGGCUAGAGAGCAGGAGAGGGCGGUGGAACUCCAUGUGUAGCGGUAAAAUGCGUAGAUAUAUGGAAGAACACCAGUGGCGAAGGCGGCUCUCUGGUCUGUAACUGACGCUGAGGUUCGAAAGCGUGGGUAGCAAACAGG